rnacentral:rRNA from 1 species
GACGGAGGGUGCAAGCGUUGUUCGGAUUGACUGGGCGUAAAGGGCGUGUAGGCGGUCGGCCAAGUCUGAUGUGAAAGCCCGAGGCUCAGCCUCGGAAGUGCGUCGGAAACUAGUCGGCUGGAGCGCGAUAGAGGAGGGUGGAAUUCCUGGUGUAGCGGUGAAAUGCGUAGAUAUAGGAAGGAACACCAGUGGCGAAGGCGACCACCUGGACUGAUACUGACACUGAGGUGCGAAAGCGUGGGGAGCAAACAGG